rnacentral:misc_RNA from 1 species
GAUGAAGAACGCAGCGAAAUGCGAUAAGUAAUGUGAAUUGCAGAACUCAGUGAAUCAUCGAAUCUUUGAACGCACAUUGCGCCCGCCAGUAUUCUGGCGGGCAUGCCUGUUCGAGCGUCAUUUCAACCAUCAAGCCCCCGGCUUGUGUUGGGGACCUGCGGCUGCCGCAGGCCCUGAAAUGCAGUGGCGGGCUCGCUGUCACUCCGAGCGUAGUAGUUACAUCUCGCUCUGGGCGUGCUGCGGGUUCCGGCCGUUAAAAGCCUUAUUUACCCAAGGUUGACCUCGGAUCAGGUAGGAAGACCCGCUGAACUUAAGCAUAUCAAUAAGCGGAGGA